UCAAGCUACAAAGAGCACAUGAUGGAUGCCUUGGUGCCAAUAGGCGAUGAAGGACGUGGCUAACUGCGAUAAGCCUCGGAGAGCGGUAAACACGCUGUGACCCGGGGAUUUCCGAAUGGGAUAACCUGAGUGGGGUAACACCUGCUCGAGUUUGUGUGAAUACAUAGCACAAACAUCGCGACACCCGGUGAAGUGAAACAUCUCAGUAACCGGAGGAAAAGAAAGCGAAAGCGAUUCCGUAAGUAGUGGCGAGCGAAAGCGGAACAGACCAAACCACCAGCUUGCUGGUGGGGUUGUAGGAGCCCGAUGUGGUAGUGCAACGAUUAGAUGAAGCGAAUGGAAAAUCGCUCCAAAGAGGGUGACAGACCCGUAAUCGAAAAUCCGCGCACGCCUAGGGAUUUCCUGAGUAAUACGAUGCACGUGAAACUUCGUAUGAAUCCACGCCGACCACGGCGUAAGUCUAAAUACUAAUUGGCGACCGAUAGUGAACAAGUACCGCGAGGGAAAGGUGAAAAGAACCGCUGUGAGCGGAGUGAAAUAGUACCUGAAAUCAUGUGCUUACAAGGUGUCAAAGCCGGGCAACCGGUGAUGGCGUGCCUUUUGCUUAAUGAGUCUGCGAGUUAUUGUCAGUGGCGAGCCUAAGUCGUUCUGCGAUGGAGGCGAAGCGAAAGCGAGUCCGAAAUGGGCGACCAUAGUCGCUGGCAGUAGACCCGAAGCCGAGGUGAUCUACCCAUGAGCAGGUUGAAGGUUGCUUAACCGCAACUGAAGGACCGAACCCGUGAAGGUUGAAAACUUCUGGGAUGACUUGUGGGUAGGAGCGAAAGACUAAUCAAACCCGGUGAUAGCUGGUUCUCCCCGAAAUAGCUUGAGGGCUAGCCUCGUGUGCUGACCUGCGGAGGUAGAGCACUGGAUGAACUAGAGCCCAUACCAGGGUAUCGAAUUCAAUCAAACUCCGAAUGCCGCAGGGUGUAACACGGGAGUCAGUGCGUGAGGGAUAAGCUUCACGCGCGAGAGGCAAACAUGCCAGACCAGCAGCUAAGGUGCCCAAAUACCGUUAAGUGGAAAGGAUGUGGAGUUACUUAGACAGUGAGGAUGUUGGCUUAGAGGCAGCCAUCAUUUAAACAGUGCGUAAUAGCUGACUCAUCGAGUGAUUUCGCGCCGAUAAUGAUUGGCGAUAAGCGGUAUACCGAAGCUCUGGAAGACGGUUGGUUUCGACCAGCCGGAUUGGUAGGGGAGCGUUGUAGCGACAUCGAAGCGGAAGCGGAAGCGACCGUGGAGUUUCUACAAGUGAGAAUGCAGACAUGAGUAGCGACAAGACAGGUUAAAUUCCUGUCCGCCGUAAACCCAAGGUUUCCUGGGGAAGGUUCGUCCUCCCAGGGUUAGUCGGGACCUAAGUCGAGGCCGAAGGGCGUAGACGAUGGACAGCUGGUUUAAUAUUCCAGCACCGGCUGUGGUUAAGUGUAGUUGUGACAUAUGAGUAGAGAGUAGCCGUCGAUUGAAAGUGACGGUCCCGCAAGGGGACGCUGAGGCCUCGGCCAAGGUGGAUUGCUUGACACUUGUAUCAAGAAAACCAAUUACAUGUUCCCACGGUUGCCCGUACCGUAAACCGACACAGGUGGGUGAGUAGAGUAUACUCAGGCGCGUGAGUGAAACCUCGUUAAGGAACUCGGCAAUCUAGCCCCGUAACUUCGGAAGAAGGGGNNACACGUGACCAAUGCGGAAAGAUUAUGGCAAGAGGUUAGAGCGCAAGCUCGAAGCUUCGAACCGAAGUCCCCGUGAAUGUCGGCCGUAACUAUAACGGUCCUAAGGUAGCGAAAUUCCUUGUCGGGUAAGUUCCGACCUGCACGGAUGGCGUAACGACAGCCACACUGUCUCCACC
rnacentral:rRNA from 1 species